rnacentral:tRNA from 1 species
GGUGGCUCAGUGGUAGAGCGCUUGCCUUGAAUGCAUAAGGCCCUGGGUUCGAUUCCUCAGCACCA